rfam:Xenopus laevis strain J chromosome 4L, whole genome shotgun sequence.
GGCGGUAGCUCUGGCAACGGAAUCCCAAAAGCAGCUGUUGUGGAAAUGUUCAGCUGCAGUUGGGACCCGUUCACUGAUCUAUUGCAA